GUGUGUCCUGGCCGUUUGAGGCUCUGGCCGAUUUCUUUUCCCAAGUCCCCAUGGAGAAUCAGGGACCGUCCUGUGCCAUCUUCCGAGAGCCUGGAAGGGUCCGCCCGUGGGCUUUCCGAGCGCCGAAGGGGCCACAUGCUGCUCUGAGGGUGCCGCAGAGAUGCUGUCUCACCAUGUUGGCCCCGGAUAGUCUUGGACUCCUGGGUUCCAGGUAUCCUCCGUGGCCUCCAAAAGUGCUGGGAUUACAGGUCCUGCCUACAGAAGAUCUUGUGACAUAUCCCUGCACCCAUCACACAGGAUAUUGUGACAUUGCUGAGCCCAGCAUCUAGGUGAUGUGACUCUUCUCUACUGUUUGGUCUCUACCCAAAAAGGGAUUGUGACAUAUCACUCUGUCAAGAACCUAGAAGAGGUGACUCUCCUCUCCAGCCUGGGACCUCCAUACAGAGGGGAUUGUAGCAUAUUCCUAAUGGAGCACCAAGGUGAUGUGACACUGCUGCCUGGUCCCUGCCCUCAGAGAAGAUUGUGACAUAUCACUGCCCCGAAACCCAGGUGUGAUUGUUACAUACACCUCUGCCCAGCACCUGAGUGAUUUGACUCUUCUGCUUGGGCCCAGCGUACAGAUGGGAUUGUGCCGCAUUGCUGGACCCAGCACUUAGGUGAUGUGAUAUAAUUCUCCUCUUCUGCCUGGCCCUGCCAAAAAGUGGGAGAUUAUGGCAAAUCACUGAACCCAGCACCUAGGGACCUUGUGACAUAUAUCUGCACCCAUGACCUAGAAGAUGUGACAUUUAUUUUUUGCCUGCACCCUGCCCUGCACAGGAAUGAUUGUGACAUAUCCUUGGAACCAGACACCAGAAUUGUAACAUAUCCCUGGCUGAGCACUCAGGUGAUGUGACACUCCUGCUUGGCUUCUUCCCUCAGCAGAUUAUGAGAUAUCCAUGGCUGAAAUCCAGGGGGAAUUGUGACAUAUCACUUGGCCCAGUACCAAGCAAGUGUGACUGUUCUAUUCAUCAUAAGUCCUGCUUUCAAGGGAGAUUGGGACAUAUUGUGGGGCUCAACACCAAUGUGACAUUACUGUUUUGCCUUGGCCCAGACCUUAAAGGCACUGUGACGUAUUGCUCGGCUCAGCAACAAGGUGACGAGAGAUCCUGUGUGGACAUUGACAACAGAGAGCAUUGUGACAUAUCUUUGGGAGCAUCAGCUAUUUGAUGUGACUCUCCUUUUAUACCAAGGCUUUGCUCAUAGGGGAGACCGUGAUGUAUCUUCUGGCCCAGAAAUCAGGCGAUGUGUUUCUCCUGCCUGAGCUUUGCUCACAGGGAGCAUUGUGACAUAUCACUGAGCCCAGCACCCAGGUGAUGGGACUCUACUGCCUGUCCCCUGCUUUCAGGAGGAAAUUGUAACAUAUCUCUGACCAAGCACCCAGGUGAUAAGUCUUCUGCCUGGUGCCUGUUCUCAGGGAAGAUUGUGACAUAUCCCUGGCCCAGCAACCAGAUGAUGCAGAUGACGUAUCUCUCCUGCUCACUCUCUAUCCACAGGUUCUGCCCACAAAGGAGAUUGUGGCAUACUGCUGGGCCUAACACUAAGGUGAUGUUACUUCUCUGCUUUGGCUAUGUCCUUAGAAGGCAUUGAGACACACUGCUGGGCCCAGCACCAAGAUGAUGUGAGUCCUCUGCCUGAACCCUGACCACAGGGAGCAUUGUGACAUAUUUCUUGACCCACUGCAAUCUCUCCUAUGGACAAAGCCCAGGUUGGAUUGUGACAUAUACUUUAGCCCAGCUCACAGUUGUGAUAAUGACACUCAUACUGACAAAUCAGUCAGUAGGAGAGAUACUGGCACUUGUAGCUAAACUUAGAGAAACAGGUUAUGUAACUCUCCUUGCUGGGUCCUGCCUACAGGAAGCUUUAUGAUCUAUCUGUGUAUUCAUCAUCCAGGUGUUAUGACUCUCGUCUUUUCACUGGAACCUGCCAAAAAGGGUGAUUGUGACAUAUCACUGGACCCAGCACCUUGGUGAUGUGACUCUCCUCUCCUCCUUAGGCCCUGCUUACAUUGUGUCUGUUGAAAUACGGCUGGUCCAACACCUAGGUAAUGUGACUCUCCUGCAUAGGCCUUGCUAAUAGGGGAUGUAUGACAUAUGUUUUGUUUAUCACUUAAGUGAUGUUACUCUCCUUUUCUUCCUGAAUCCUGUAAAAGGUGGGGGAUUGUGACCCUAUCACUGGACCCAGCACAUAAGUAAUAUGAGUUUCCUGCAUAGGCUCUGUUCAGAAGGGUAUUAUGACAUAUCUUUUUGUUCAUCACUUUGUGACUUGUCUUUUGACUGGAACCUGCCAAAAAGGGUGAUUGUGACAUAUUGCUGGACCCAGCACCUAGGUGAUGUGGCUCUCCUUUUUUUCUGGGCCUCACAUAUUUUGGGUAUUGUGAUGUAUAGCUGGGCUCAACACCUAGCAGUUGGGGAGCUCCUUUCUUGACCAUUCCCACAAAUGACAUAUCUCUGCUAUGACCGCCUAUGACACAUGACCUAAAUAUGUGACCCUUCUUUUCUGCCUGUACCCUGCUAACAGAGAAGAUUGUGACAAAUUGCUAAGUGCAUUGUAUCUUGUGCUAACCUUCUAUCUCAGCCUGUGACCAAGAAUGCCUAACUGCCGGGGAAUGCAGCCCUGUAGGUCUCAACCUCAAUUUGCCCAGCCACUAUUCAAAAUAGAGUCACUCUGGUUUAAAUGCCUCUGACAUUAAGAUACACUGUAAAAUUAUGAAAAAAGUUGAUUUGAAUUUUAGCAAAUGAGAAAUGAAAUAAUUAGAAUGGGCUAUUCUGAAAGAUAUAGCAUUAGUUAUAUUUGUGUUUGAGUUUUCUAUUAACCUAUAUUUGUUACUUAUGAAUAGAUACCUUGUUUUAUUCUGUCUAAACAGAUACACUAGGUGGGGUGCGGUGGCCAUGCCUGUAAUCCCAGCACUUUGGGAGGCCGAGGGGAGUGGAUCACCUGAGGUCAGGAAUUUGGGACAAGCCUGACCAACAUGGCAAAACCCUGUCUCUACU
rnacentral:lncRNA from 1 species